rnacentral:rRNA from 1 species
UGAGGAAUAUUGGUCAAUGGGGGCAACCCUGAACCAGCCAAGUCGCGUGAAGGAUGAAGGUCUUAUGGAUUGUAAACUUCUUUUAUACAGGAAUAAAUUGGGGGACGUGUCCCCUUUUGCAUGUACUGUAUGAAUAAGGAUCGGCUAACUCCGUGCCAGCAGCCGCGGUAAUACGGAGGAUCCGAGCGUUAUCCGGAUUUAUUGGGUUUAAAGGGUGCGCAGGCGGGAUGUUAAGUCGGCGGUGAAAUUUUGCAGCUCAACUGUAAAAGUGCCUUCGAUACUGGCUUCCUUGAGUGUAGAUGAAGUAGGCGGAAUUUGUGGUGUAGCGGUGAAAUGCUUAGAUAUCACGAGGAACUCCGAUUGCGCAGGCAGCUUACUAAGCCACAACUGACGCUCAUGCACGAAGGCGUGGGGAUCAAAC